GGGAAUUUAAUUAUUAUUAGGUAGUAUUAUUUCCUAGUUUAUCUUAUUACUAAUUAGAAUUGAAUUAGGUUCUAAAAUUCUAAUGUGAUUGAGAUUUUUAAUUUUAUAAAUAAAACCUUGACUUUUUAUUGUUAUUAGAUUAGAUUAGCUAUGAUAAUUUUAUGAAAUCAAUAAUAUUUUAAGAAUUAGUUUUCUUUCCAAGAAUUAGUCCUUAAUUUGUUCUUUAUUCCUUUUUGUUCUACAUCAUUAGCGAAAAUUUGAUCCUUUGACCCUUCUGCUGUGCCUUCUAAAAUCCCACCCUUCC
rnacentral:misc_RNA from 1 species